UUUUCAUGAACAUACCUUUUGAAGUGUGUAAUUAGCAGAGACCCUAAAGGCCUUUACAAGCUCGCACGAGCUAGAUAGAUUAGAGGUGAGUACCCAUCUGGCCAUAUCAGCUUGAAGGAUUGAAUUUCUUGCAUUUUUCUUAGUAAAAAAAAAAACACAUGUGAUACUCGCUGACGAGAUGGAUCUUGGUGUUGGAAAAUCCUGCCUUCUCUUGCAGUUCAUAGACAAGAGUUUUCAACCGGUUCGUGAUUUGACCAUUGGUGUUGAAUUUGGAACAAGAAUGCUUACAAUUGACAACAAAACUACAAAGAUCUCUUGCUUUAGUGGUUUUAUGGAUUAAAAAUUUUAUCAAUCCAUAAAAUAGUUCGAAGAAAACUGUUCCUGACUGCUUUUUCUUUUUUGUUUUGGUUUAUUUGUAGAUUAAUAAACUAUAUUUAUUAACAACUUUAUACAAUAAAAUCAAUGGUAAACUAUAUGUUUACACAUC